rnacentral:rRNA from 1 species
CUACGGGUGGCAGCAGUGGGGAAUCUUGGACAAUGGGCGCAAGCCUGAUCCAGCCAUGCCGCGUGAGUGAUGAAGGCCUUAGGGUCGUAAAGCUCUUUCGCCAGGGAUGAUAAUGACAGUACCUGGUAAAGAAACCCCGGCUAACUCCGUGCCAGCAGCCGCGGUAAUAUGGAGGGGGUUAGCGUUGUUCGGAAUUACUGGGCGUAAAGCGCGCGUAGGCGGACCAGAAAGUUGGGGGUGAAAUCCCGGGGCUCAACCCCGGAACGGCCUCCAAAACUCCUGGUCUUGAGUUCGAGAGAGGUGAGUGGAAUUCCGAGUGUAGAGGUGAAAUUCGUAGAUAUUCGGAGGAACACCAGUGGCGAAGGCGACUCACUGGCUCGAUACUGACGCUGAGGUGCGAAAGUGUGGGGAGCAAACAGGAUUAGAUACCCUAGUAGUC